CCUUCGGUAGCUCAGCCGGAAGUGCAUGAGACUAUAACAGAACAUCUGUGGUAUCCAAAGGUUGCUGGUUCGAUUUCAGUCCGAAGGA